GCAGUCAGAGGUCUCCAUCUCAGCUUUUCUCGGUCUACGAGUAGCUCAGUCAGCUCCAUCAUGGCGAUGCACGCCAAAGCGACUCCACCGCAGAUCCCCGACACCCGCCGAGAGCUCUCCGAGCUGGUCAAGAGAAAACAAGAGCUUGCGGAGACUUUGGUGAAUCUGGAAAGACAGAUUUAUGCAUUUGAAGGCAGUUACCUGGAGGACACUCAGAUGUAUGGUAACAUCAUUCGAGGAUGGGACCGAUAUUUGACCAAUCAAAAGAAUUCAAACAGCAAGACGGAUAGGAGGAAUAGGAAGUUCAAGGAAGCGGAACGACUUUUCAGCAAGUCCUCCGUCACAUCAGUGGCGGCUGUUUGUGCUCUUGGAGGAAUUCCUGAUCAUAUGAAUGAAAAACGUGAACCAGGCAGCGGAACAGAGAGCGACACAUCCCCAGAUCUCCAAAACCAGGAAAACGAACCCAGCCAGGAAGACACAGAGGAUGCAGAUGGAGCCCUGCAGGACCUGAAACCCCAGAAAGCUGCUUCGUCGUCUUCUGCAAGCCACCAUAGCAGCCACAAGAAACGCAAGAACAAGAACAGACACAGUUCACUUCAGACCGGUUUGAUUAGAGAAGAUGCUCAAUUUUCAGAUCUGUGUUUGGAUUAGAUGGACAGAAAGAAGAUUUGGAGAAAUUUGACAUGAAGAUGAACAAGAAACCCAGAGCGGAUUACUCUGCCUAAUGGAUCCUGGAUAAUAUUCACACAAACCAAACCUCUUCAGUCAGCUUCGAUUCUCUCCGCUCUAGAACGUCUGGAUCUUCCGCUGCAUUUCUCCACUGUUCUGUUUCCCUCUUUCCUGAUCGUAGUCAAGCUCUUGUGUCAUUUUUAUUCUCUGAUGGAUUCAGAUCCACCUGUUAUUGCAUGAUGUGAACUGCAGACAUGAGGUUCCAGUUCUGCUCAUAAUGAUGGAAUCUUUUAUUUAUGUUUCAUGGAUGACGUAUCAGUGGAUCCAAACCUUCCCUUCCUGCUUUUGGAUAGCUUUCACCUUUUGUUUUGAUAAACUUGUGUAGCUAAUGUAAAAAGUUGGUCAUGUUAUUACUUUUUUUUGUUUUAUACCAUCUUGUUUUGAAUAAAACUGAAAUAAGACAAUGA